GGCUCCCUGGCAGCCGCCUGGGGCCUGGCGCUGCCCGGCAGGCGGGCAAAGGCAGCCCGCUAACGAGGCAGUGAGACCGCCCAGACAGCAACAUUACAUCAUGACUCCUGGAUUCUCAUCAUCAAAGGAAAACAGAAACAAUCAAUAAUUGAGGAGUUCAACCCAUCAGCAAAACAGACUUUGGAUGCCUAACGAACUAGACCUGGGAUGGUUAUGAAAUCUCCAAGAACUGAAGAAGGUUUGCAGAAACUCUGCAGGUAAUGACUGACAGGAGCUAUUAUCAACACAUGAGAGCCAUGCUCACCAACCAAUGAGAGAUGAGAAGGGAUGCAGCAAAAGGGUAAAGGAUGCAGUUGCUUUCAGAAAAAGGUAUUGUGGUUUUGAAAAUGACAAACUCAAUCAUACGCUUCAUAGGAAAGCCAAAUCAAAUGUGUUUGUUUUAAACUCUUUUAAAUAAAUUUUCCGCACUAUCUCCCAGUUCCAGUGGAGAAAAUCAGCCUUCAGCAAAAUUAUUAAUAAGUUUUUUGGGGGUAAUCUAAUCUCUUCUUUUUUUCAUCCAAUGCCCAAGGAUAAGCAAGUUUCUUUUUUAAUUUACUGUAAGCUGCAAGCAGAUAUCCAAUUGUGUUAAAGUUCUGUGAGGUAAGAGUAACAUGGUUGAAAGUGAGGGCCUGAAUUGUCUCCCUGCAAAUAAAGUACAUGAGCUUUAAAUAGACUCAGUGACUUCUAUUUUGGGUACUCAGAGGUUUAUUUUUUACUUAUUGGAUGAACGUUAUCUUUCAAAAUUUGAGAUUCUUAAGUUAGUGAGCUGUUGUAGUUAAUGAGCACACUUGUCGUUGCCUUACAGUUUUGUUCAGUCAUCUCCAUGUCUGUGAUGUCUGUCAUGAGGUGCAAAUGUUCAGAGCAGAGGCUCUGCCUAAGCCGUUUUGUACUGUUUCUACUCAGCACGGGCCGUAUAGCAAGUAUACUCUUAAAGCCAAGUAAAAGCACUACAAGAGAUUUGAAACAACAAAAGCAGCAACUCAAGUUUGUAAUGAAAAAUGAAAUUCAUGUCUUCCCAUUUGGCAUAGGUCCCCAUAAGGGCAAAAACAGUGACUCAUUUACCGCUGUAUUCCCAACACUGAGCACAGUGGCUAGCACGAUGUAUGUCGGUUGCCUUAAUCAUUACUUGUUGACAAUGAAUUAAUAAAGGAGGUCUUUUUAACCCACUCAUAACCCAGUGUGGCAUGGUGAAGUGGCUAGAAUACUUGUUUCCUCCUCUGUCAAAGAAAUGAUAGUAUUUUAUCCUACAAGGUAAUUUGUAAAGAGUGAGUGAAAGAGCAUGUGCAGACAUAGGACCUGGCCCAGAGCAGGUAAUAUUUGCUGAACUAGAAUCUUAGAAACUUUUAAAUCAGUUAAUCAGCAGGAAAAGACGUGGAUUCCACUUAUUCGCAGAGUUUAUUUGGGUUGAAACAGCCUGCUUCAAGAAGAGGAGGUAGACUUCACCCUUGAUGUGGGGAUCAUUUGUAUGGGGUCCUCAUUCCCUAGAUGUGGAGGCUGCAUUUAUAACUGCAAAGGAUUUGAUGAGAACAACUUGCCAUAGUCCAGAAUUUUAAAUCCGUAUAAAUGCUCCCUGAGCUCCGGGGCACUGUGUUGUGCAGGGUAGUAGGGAGCACCGCCGAUAUUUAGGUCUGUCAACCCCCUUGGGCCAGCGUCCCCCACCCUGCCCAGCUGAGAGCCUGCUUCAGCAAAUCUAUAGAACCAGCUACAUGUUUCAAAGGCCUGAGUAUCCAUUUUGGAGUAUCCAGAUCUCUUCUGUUUCUCUCUCUUUUAGACAUAAUUUUUAUUUUAACUGAUUCAUUUGAAUUUGCAUCAGGGAAAUGUAAAGUGAGAUAAAGAAAAAUAUAUUAAAAUCAAUUGAAUUUAUUAGUUACUAGCUAUAAAAAUGGAUGUAGUAAGGGCAGGAAAAAUGACAUCAAAACCACGGUUUCUAAACAAACCCUGUCCCCAGGUACAGUGGUGAACUGAGAGUGAUUAGAACUACUCUUCUCAGGGUCCAAAAUAUACAAAGUGUGCUUUAUCCAAAUUAAUAAGCUAAUAGAUUUAGAGUGUUCUUUUCUCUUUGACAAAAGGAUCUGAGCCCAAGGUUAGUGAAAUAAAAAUCUUGGGCAAAGCAACAGCAACCAAAGCAGGCAGACAAACCAACUUCUCAUGUGUUCCUCCCUGUGACUAAAUGUUACAGUGAAGAAGCUGAUGAGAUUUAUGAAAUUUCCCAGUUGACACACUGGAACCACUUAUUUGCCACAACAAGAGAGCACUCUGUGUCCAUGACUCCAGAUUUUAUUUCAGAUUGUUUGGGGAGGGAAAACAAAUCUCCUGCUCUAAGAAGGAACACCAUGUGCUACUGGAGACAUUCACUGCCUUGCCUCUAAGUAACUUACAGAAUAUUCUACAGCUUUUACUGGUAUUCACAUGGAAGCAUUGUUUGAUGGCAAUCAACUUAUUUCUUGCACUCGAACAAAUACUAUCAGGCUGUCUCACGGUGGCCUAUGUUUAUGGGUUUCAGGAGUAUCAUUAUGCUAACAAGCCAUACUUUAUAACCUCAAGGAACAGAACCUUAACAAUGGAAUCUUAAAACUAUGGAAACUGACUAGGUGACUAUUCUAGGGGCCAGAGAAACUCCAAGCAGUCCUCAAAUUGCACUAUUAAGAAGCCACAUACUUGGACUCUGAAGGAGAACAAAUCUGAGCAUUUGUUGAAUCCCAGAGCGACUCUGAAGGAUCAUGGUGCUGGUCAGAAGCAACUGCUGUUUUAUUACAUGCCUCAGUGCUCCAUUUUAUUGCAAUGACAAAAAUGCCCACUCUCUCUGUGUCCAUCUCACUGUUUCUGAUUUCUUUUCCUCUGUGGCUGUAGUUGGUACUGAUGGCUUUGAGAGGGGAGAGGCUGACUGAACUUUUUAAAAGUUAUUUGCUAUCCAUAAUGUGCUUUGGCGUCUAUUGGGAAUAUUUUAAUUACUGAUUCAGUUUCAGUAUUGGUAAUUGGUCUUUUAGUAUUUUCUAUUUCUUCCUUGUUCAAUCUUGGGAGACCGUACCUUCCUAAGAAUUUUUCCAUUUCUCCUACAUUGUUUAUUUUAUUGGCAAGCAGUUGUUUGUAAUAGUCUCUUAUGAGCCUUUAUAUUUCUGUGGUGUUGGUUGUAACUUCUUUUUCAUUUGUGAUUUUAUUUAUUUGGGACCUCUCUCUUUUUUUCUUGAUGAUUCUGGCUAAUGGCUUAUCGAUUUUGUUUAUAUUUUCAAAGAGCCAGCUCUUUCAUCAGUUUUUUCAUCAGUCUUUUCUAUUGGCUGUUGGACAGGGUGGGUCUGUGUGUUGAGGCUAUUAAGGUAAUAGGUGCUUGCCAGCACCAGUGUCCAUGUGGUAGAAUGGGCUGCUGCCAGUGUCUGUGAGCUCCAGUUGCCUCCUGCCUCUCCAGGUGAUCCUCCAGGAUCAGCAAGUAGGUCGGACACAUGCUCCUUUCAGUUUACUGCUUCUGCCCUGGGUCCCAAAGUAUGUGAGAUUUUGUGUGUGCCCUUGAAGAGUGGAGUCUCUAUUUCCCACAAGUCUCUGAAACUAUCCAAAUAAGUCCCAUUGGCCUCCAAAGCCAAACGUUCUGGGGGCUCAUCUUCCCAGUGCAGGACCGCUGGGCUGGAAAGCCUAAUGCAGAGCUCAGAUGCCUCACUUUGGGGGGAAUCUCUGCAGUUGUAAUUAUUCUCCCUUCCUGGGGAUAUGGGACUUGACUAUACAAUGACUUCACUCCUCCCACCCACCUUGUUGUAGUUUCUUCUUUAUAUUGUUACCUAUAAAAGAAUUUUCCUGGUACAUUCCAGACAUUUUCAUCAAUACUUAUUCUCUAAAUAGUCGUAAUUUUGGUGUGCUCCUGAGAGGAGGUGAGUUCAGGGUCCUUCUACUCUGCCAUCUUGCCUUAUAUCCAAGAACGUAAUUUUAUCAAAUUGGGAAAGUUAGGAAAGAAGGACAUCUAGUUUUUGUAACGAAGUAAUGAGUUCAAUUUUCUAAAUGUUAAGCUGGAGAUAAAGUUUUAGAAAUGAUAAAAAGCAUUCUGGGAUUGAAUUCUUUUAGGUAACAUUUAGUUAAAGGUUUCUUUACUUCUUAGUCCCUUUAAUACACUAACUUGCAAGAGGAACCCCAAGAGGGAAGAAACAACAUAUUAUCCAAACUUAGUUGAUUGUAGACUGUUUUCUCAAAGAAACUGAGACUGAUGUUCUCCUAUUUUAAUCUCUACCAAGGUUCAAAUUUCAAAUGCUGUGGCAGUCCACUCAAGGAGAGUGAAGCCUGACUUUGAAAGUGAUUGUAUUAAUUUUAAUGUGCCCAUGUGCUAGGAGAAUAUUCUAAGAUUCUAGGGUCUCAGUCCUGAGUGAGAGACAGCUACCACUUUGUAAAGAUCAAUCCUGACACUCAAAUGCAGCAAUCUCCAACAGCCUUGUAUUUCAGUCCCAUUUUUACUAAUUACUAACUACCAUAUGCAUUCAUCAAUUACAUUCAGAUGUCUAGGGUUUUUUUUCUCCCCAUCACCAAGAAAUUCUCAGACACCAGCUAGAUGUCCUACAUCAACCCAAUUCUGACACUAUCUACUGGAGAUAGCAUCAGAUCCCACAGGUUAAGGACUCAAUCCUAUAAGGCCACCCUGCUUCAAACACAAUCCUAAAUCCAGGUUGUCACCUGUGUUUCUGACCCACUGGCUGUAGAUUAGUGGUUCCAAUGAUCCUCUUUGGUUUUGAUUAAUUUACUCAGAAAAACAUUUCACUCACUAGAUUACUGGCUUAUUAUAAAAGGAUACACAUCAGGACAGAUGGAAGACAAGUUAUGGAGAAAGGGUGUAGAGAUUCCAUGCUCUCUCUGGGGUGCCACUUCUCUGCAUCUCCACAUGUUCCCCAACCCAGAAGCUCUCCUGACCUGUACUUUUGGGUUUUUAUGGAGGCUACAUAGGCAUGAUUUAUUUAAUCAUUGUACAUUGGUGAUUGACCUCUAUCUCCAGCCCUUCGCCCCAUGGAACCCCCAUGGGGGUGAUGGAACAUGUGUGGGGAAAGGGGCAGAUUGGACUGAAAGUUCCAACUUUCUAAUCACAUGAUUAGCUCCACUGGAAAUCUGCCCCAUCCUUAGGUGCUUUCUGGGCACACACAGACUGAAUAGGGACAGCCAUAAGGAAUACCUUGAACACUGCAAUUAGCAACUAUUUCAUCUAACUUCAUAGAGACAGAGAAAGUUAAUCAAAAUUAGAAGGGAGAAGAAUUUUUCUCAAUUGAAAGAGCAAGAUUAAAAAACCUGAAAAAGCAAGUAAUGAAACAGAAAUAAACACUUUACCAGAUAAAGAGCUCAAAGCAUUCAUAGUAAGAAUGCUAACUUAAUUUGGGAAAAUAGGUGAACAUAGUGAGAAUUUUAACAAGGAACUAAAAAUUCUAAAAAGAAACAGAACUGAAGAAUACAAUAACUGAAAUAAAAAACAUAUUAGAAGGAAUUAACAUCAGACUAGGUGAUACAGAACACAUAAAUGAUAGAAUAAUGGAAAUCACCCAAUCAGAACAGCAAAAAGAAAAACAAAAUGAAAAAUGAAAACAGUUUAAGGGAUCUCUGAGACAACAUCAACAUAACAAUAUUUGCAUUAUAGGAGUCCCAGAAGGAAAAGUGAGAAAGAAGGGGAUCAAAAAUGCAUGUGAUGAACUUAUGGCUGAAAACUUUCCAAACCUAAAGAAGAAAAAAGAUAUUCAGGUACAGGAUGCACAGAGGGUCCCAAACAAAAUGAACCUACGCCAAGAGAUAUCAUAAUUAAAAUGGCAAAAGUUAAAGAUAAAGAGAGAAUUCUAAAGACAGCAAGAGAAAACAAAGAAUCACAUACAAAAGGACCCUCCAUGAGGCAAUCAGCUGAUUUCUAGGCAGAAACAUUGCAGACCAGAAGGGAGUGGCAUGACAUUUUCAAAGUACUGAAAAGGGACAACUUGCAACCUAGGAUAGUCUACCUAGCAUGAUUAUCAUUUAGAAUUGAAGGACAAGAGCUACCAUGUGAUCCAGCAAUCCCACUCCUGGGCAUAUAUCUGGGAAAGAUGAAAACUUUAAUUCAAAAAGAUACAUGCACCCCAAAGUUCAUAACAGCACUAUUUACAAUAGCCAAGCCAUGGAAGCAACCCAAAUGUCGCUCAACAGAUGAAUAAAGAAGAUGUGAUAAAUAUAUACACAAUGGAAUAUUACUCAGCCUUAAAAAAAUAAAAUAUUGUCACCUGCAGCAACAUGAGUGAACCUAGAGAAUAUCCUAAGUAAAGUAAGUCAGGCAGAGAAAGACAAAUACUGUAUGUUAUCACUUACAUGUGGAAUCUAAAAAAUAAUACAAAUGAAUCUAUAUACAAAACUGAAACAGAAGACUCACAGACACAGAAAACAAACCUAUGGUCACCAAAGGGGAAAGGAAAGUGGGGGAGAAUAAAUUAGGAAUAUGGGGUUAACAGAUACAAACUAUUAUGUGUAAAAUAGAUAAGCAACAAGGAUUUACUGUAUAACACAGGAAACUAUAUUCAAUAUCUUGUAGUAACCUAAAAUGGAAAAUAAUCUGAAAAAAUAUAUAACUGAAUCACUUUGUUGUACACCUGAAACUACACAAUAUUGUAAAUCAACUAUACUUCAAUUAAAAAAAAUAAAAAAUAAGGAGAAAGAAUUUAUUCAGACACUGAGAUGAACUAAAAGAGUUCAUCAAUGCCAAACCUACCCUGAAAGAAGUGUUAAAGGGUCUUCUCUAAGGAGAAAAGACUAUAAGACUAUAUAACAAGAAGUAAGAAUCUAUAGAAAAGGAAAAAUCUGACUAAUAAUGGCAAUAAUAAAGGUUGAGGAUCAUCCAUUUAAAUAAGCUAGUAUAAAGAUUAAAAGACAAAAAAAUUAUAAAAUCAACUAUGACUAAAGGAAUAAACAUGAAGGUGUAAAAUAUGACAUUAAAAACAAAAUGUGGGGGAAGGAAGUAAAUGCAGAAAUUUUAGAAUGUGUUUGAACUUAAAGGACUACCUAUUUAAAACAAGUAGAUAUAGUUAUAGAUCAACAUAUAUGAACUGGUAACAGCAAAUCAAAAACCUACAAUAGAUAUAUAAAAACUAGAGAGAAAAGAAUACAGCAUACCAGUAAAGACAAUCAUCAAACCACAAGGGAAGAAACAAAAAGAAGAAAAGAAUAGAGAAGAACUACAAAAGCAACCAGAAGCCAAGUAAUAAAAUGACAAUAAGUAUAUACCUGUCAAUAAUUACUUUAAAUGCCAAUGGAUAUACACACACACACACACACACACAAUGUAUAUGUAUAUAUACUAUAGAAUAUUGCUCAGCCAUAAAAAGAAUAAAAUUCUGCCAUUUGCAACAAUGUGGAUAGACCUAGAGGGUAUUAUGCUUAGUGAAAUAAAUCAGAGAAAGACAAAUACUGUAUAAUACCACUUAUAUGAGGAAGCUAAAAAAUAAAACAAAGGAAUCUAUGUAACAAAACAGAAACAGACUCACAGAUAUAAAGAACAAACUAGUGGAUACCAGUGGGGAGAGGGAAGGGGAGAGGAACAAGAUAGGGUAUGGGAUUCAGAGAUACAAACUACUAGGUAUUAAAUAGAUAAACAACAAGGACAUAUUAUACAGCACAGGGAA